UUUUAGCCCUGAUUGAAGUGAAAAUCCUUUUUAUUUUUUCUUUAAAAAUAAAAAGAUUGAAACGGAAAGCAGGACACGAG
rnacentral:sRNA from 1 species